rnacentral:piRNA from 1 species
GCUUUGGUUCUGUGUUCUGAGCAUUGCAC